AGAGGUUCCUUUUGGGUCAGGAUGAACGCUGGCGGCGUGCCUAAUACAUGCAAGUCGAACGAACAAGAUUAGCUAAGCUUGCUUAGCUAAUUGCGUUAGUGGCGAACGGGUGAGUAAUACAUAAAUAACCUGCCCCUAUGUUUGGAAUAACAGUUGGAAACGACUGCUAAUGCCAGAUACGUUAUCAAGUGGCAUCACAUGAUAAUAAAAGAUCCUUCUGGGAUCGCAAAGGGAUGGAUUUAUGGCGCAUUAGUUAGUUGGUGAGGUAACGGCUCACCAAGACGAUGAUGCGUAGCCGGCCUGAGAGGGUGACCGGCCACACUGGGACUGAGACACGGCCCAGACUCCUACGGGAGGCAGCAGUAGGGAAUUUUCGGCAAUGGGGGAAACCCUGACCGAGCGACGCCGCGUGAGUGAAGACGGCCUUCGGGUUGUAAAGCUCUGUUGUAAGGGAAGAACCGUAGUGAUAGGAAAUGAUCACUACCUGACGGUACCUUACCUAGAAAGCCACGGCUAACUACGUGCCAGCAGCCGCGGUAAUACGUAGGUGGCGAGCGUUAUCCGGAAUUAUUGGGCGUAAAGGGAGCGCAGGCGGUUUAUUAAGUCUGAGGUUAAAGUUCGGGGCUCAACCCCGUGAUGCCUUAGAAACUGGUAGACUAGAGUGCAGGAGAGGUUAGUGGAAUUCCAUGUGUAGCGGUAAAAUGCGUAGAUAUAUGGAGGAACACCAGUGGCGAAGGCGGCUAACUGGCCUGUAACUGACGCUGAGGCUCGAAAGCGUGGGGAGCAAAGGGGAUUAGAUACCCCAGUAGUCCACGCCGUAAACUAAAAUGACUAGGUGGUGGAGUAGGCCUUCAGUGCCGUAGUUAACGCAAUAAGAAAUCCGCCUGGGGAGUAUGCGCGCAAGCGUAAAACUCAAAGGAAUUGACGGGGACCCGCACACGCGGUGGAGUAUGUGGUUUAAUUCGAUGCAACGCGAAGAACCUUACCUGGUCUUGACAUAUAUUUAAAAAGCUUAGAGAUAAGUAAUAGUUAUAGAUAUACAGGUGGUGCAUGGUUGUCGUCAGCUCGUGUCGUGAGAUGUUGGGUUAAGUCCCGUAACGAGCGCAACCCCUAUCUUUAGUUACCAUCAUUAAGUUGGGGACUCUAAAGAGACUGCCGGUGAUAAACCGGAGGAAGGUGGGGAGGACGUCAAAUCAUCAUGCCCCCUAUGAUCAGGGCUACACACGUACUACAAUGGCAUAUACAAAGGGCAGCUACACAGCGAUGUGAUGCGAAUCUCAUAAAGUAUGUCUCAGUUCGGAUUGGAGUCUGCAACUCGACUCCAUGAAGCAGGAAUCGCUAGUAAUCGUGGAUCAGAAUGCCACGGUGAAUACGUUCUCGGGUCUUGCACACACCGCCCGUCAA
rnacentral:rRNA from 1 species